UACGUAGGGGGCAAGCGUUGUCCGGAAUCAUUGGGCGUAAAGAGCGUGUAGGCGGCCCGAUAAGUCCGCCGUGAAAGUCCAGGGCUCAACCCUGGAAUGCCGGUGGAAACUGUCGGGCUGGAGUCCGGAAGAGGCGAGUGGAAUUCCUGGUGUAGCGGUGAAAUGCGCAGAUAUCAGGAGGAACACCUAUUGCGAAGGCAGCUCGCUGGGACGCAACUGACGCUGAGACGCGAAAGCGUGGGGAGCAAACAGG
rnacentral:rRNA from 1 species